rnacentral:rRNA from 1 species
CGUAGGGACCAAGCGUUGUUCGGAUUUACUGGGCGUAAAGGGCGCGUAGGCGGCAAUUCAAGUCAUCUGUGAAAUCUCCGGGCUUAACUCGGAACGGUCAGAUGAUACUGUCUUGCUAGAGUGCAGAAGGGGCAAUCGGAAUUCUUGGUGUAGCGGUGAAAUGCGUAGAUAUCAAGAGGAACACCUGAGGUGAAGACGGGUUGCUGGGCUGACACUGACGCUGAUGCGCGAAAGCCAGGGGAGCAAACGGGAUUAGAUACCCCGGUAGUCCUGGCCCUAAACGAUGAAUACUUGGUGUCUGGAGUUUUUAAUGCUCCGGGUGCCGUCGCUAACGUUUUAAGUAUUCCGCCUGGGGAGUACGCUCGCAAGAGUG